CCUACGGGUGGCAGCAGUGGGGAGUAUUGGACAAUGGGGGCAACCCUGAUCCAGCCAUGCCGCGUGUGUGAAGAAGGCCCUCGGGUUGUAAAGCACUUUCAGUGAGGAAGAACGCCUGGUGGUUAAUACCCAUCAGGAAAGACAUCACUCACAGAAGAAGCACCGGCUAACUCCGUGCCAGCAGCCGCGGUAAUACGGAGGGUGCGAGCGUUAAUCGGAAUUACUGGGCGUAAAGCGCGCGUAGGUGGCUUGAUAAGCCGGUUGUGAAAGCCCCGGGCUCAACCUGGGAACGGCAUCCGGAACUGUCAAGCUAGAGUGCAGGAGAGGAAGGUAGAAUUCCCGGUGUAGCGGUGAAAUGCGUAGAGAUCGGGAGGAAUACCAGUGGCGAAGGCGGCCUUCUGGACUGACACUGACACUGAGGUGCGAAAGCGUGGGUAGCAAACAGGAUUAGAUACCCCAGUAGUC
rnacentral:rRNA from 1 species